rnacentral:rRNA from 1 species
GAUGAACGCUGGCGGCGUGCCUAAUACAUGCAAGUCGAGCGAACGGACGAGAAGCUUGCCUCUCUGAUGUUAGCGGCGGACGGGUGAGUAACACGUGGAUAACCUACCUAUAAGACUGGGAUAACUUCGGGAAACCGGAGCUAAUACCGGAUAAUAUUUUGAACCGCAUGGUUCAAAAGUGAAAGACGGUCUUGCUGUCACUUAUAGAUGGAUCCGCGCUGCAUUAGCUAGUUGGUAAGGUAACGGCUUACCAAGGCAACGAUGCAUAGCCGACCUGAGAGGGUGAUCGGCCACACUGGAACUGAGACACGGUCCAGACUCCUGCGGGAGGCAGCAGUAGGGAAUCUUCCGCAGUGGGCGAAAGCCUGACGGAGCAACGCCGCGUGAGUGAUGAAGGUCUUCGGAUCGUAAAACUCUGUUAUUAGGGAAGAACAUAUGUGUAAGUAACUGUGCACAGCUUGACGGUACCUAAUCAGAAAGCCACGGCUAACUACGUG